rnacentral:rRNA from 1 species
GACGAACGCUGGCGGCGUGCCUAAUACAUGCAAGUAGAACGCUGAAGAGAGGAGCUUGCUCUUCUUGGAUGAGUUGCGAACGGGUGAGUAACGCGUAGGUAACCUGCCUGGUAGCGGGGGAUAACUAUUGGAAACGAUAGCUAAUACCGCAUAAAAUUGAUUAUUGCAUGAUAAUUAAUUGAAAGAUGCAAUUGCAUCACUACCAGAUGGACCUGCGUUGUAUUAGCUAGUUGGUGAGGUAACGGCUCACCAAGGCGACGAUACAUAGCCGACCUGAGAGGGUGAUCGGCCACACUGGGACUGAGACACGGCCCAGACUCCUACGGGAGGCAGCAGCAGGGAAUCUUCGGCAAUGGGGGGAACCCUGACCGAGCAACGCCGCGUGAGUGAAGAAGGUUUUCGGAUCGUAAAGCUCUGUUGUAAGAGAAGAACGGGUGUGAGAGUGGAAAGUUCACACUGUGACGGUAUCUUACCAGAAAGGGACGGCUAACUACGUGCCAGCAGCCGCGGUAAUACGUAGGUCCCGAGCGUUGUCCGGAUUUAUUGGGCGUAAAGCGAGCGCAGGCGGUUAGAUAAGUCUGAAGUUAAAGGCUGUGGCUUAACCAUAGUAUGCUUUGGAAACUGUUUAACUUGAGUGCAGAAGGGGAGAGUGGAAUUCCAUGUGUAGCGGUGAAAUGCGUAGAUAUAUGGAGGAACACCGGUGGCGAAAGCGGCUCUCUGGUCUGUAACUGACGCUGAGGCUCGAAAGCGUGGGGAGCAAACAGGAUUAGAUACCCUGGUAGUCCACGCCGUAAACGAUGAGUGCUAGGUGUUAGGCCCUUUCCGGGGCUUAGUGCCGCAGCUAACGCAUUAAGCACUCCGCCUGGGGAGUACGACCGCAAGGUUGAAACUCAAAGGAAUUGACGGGGGCCCGCACAAGCGGUGGAGCAUGUGGUUUAAUUCGAAGCAACGCGAAGAACCUUACCAGGUCUUGACAUCCCUCUGACCGCUCUAGAGAUAGAGUUUUCCUUCGGGACAGAGGUGACAGGUGGUGCAUGGUUGUCGUCAGCUCGUGUCGUGAGAUGUUGGGUUAAGUCCCGCAACGAGCGCACCCCCUAUUGUUAGUUGCCAUCAUUGAGUUGGGCACUCUAGCGAGACUGCCGGUAAUAAACCGGAGGAAGGUGGGGAUGACGUCAAAUCAUCAUGCCCCUUAUGACCUGGGCUACACACGUGCUACAAUGGCUGGUACAACGAGUCGCAAGCCGGUGACGGCAAGCUAAUCUCUGAAAGCCAGUCUCAGUUCGGAUUGUAGGCUGCAACUCGCCUACAUGAAGUCGGAAUCGCUAGUAAUCGCGGAUCAGCACGCCGCGGUGAAUACGUUCCCGGGCCU